rnacentral:rRNA from 1 species
UUUCCAGACUCCUACGGGAGGCAGCAGUGGGGAAUAUUGCACAAUGGGGGAAACCCUGAUGCAGCGACGCCGCGUGGGCGACGAAGCGCUCCGGCGCGUAAAGCCCUGUCAGCAGGGAAGAAAAAAGACAGUACCUGACCAAGAAGCCCCGGCUAACUACGUGCCAGCAGCCGCGGUAAUACGUAGGGGGCAAGCGUUAUCCGGAUUCACUGGGCGUAAAGGGAGCGCAGGCGGCACGGCAAGUCUGGUGUGAAAGCCCGGGGCCCAACCCCGGGACUGCUCUGGAAACUGCGUCGCUGGAGUACGGGAGGGGCAGGCGGAAUUCCUGGUGUAGCGGUGAAAUGCGUAGAUAUCAGGAGGAACACCGGCGGCGAAGGCGGCCUGCUGGACCGUGACUGACGUUGAGGCUCGAGAGCGUGGGGAGCAAACAGGAUUAGAUACCCCAGUAU